rnacentral:tRNA from 1 species
GCCGAGAUGGCGAAACUGGUAGACGCGCUGGAUUCAAAAUCCAGUGUCCUAACGGACGUGUGGGUUCGAUUCCCACUCUCGGUACUA